AUAAAAGAUGUAACAGAUGCAAACUGUAACACAAGGGCCAUUAACCCUUUCUCUGCCGAGCACACUCAGUCCCCACGCCCCGCACCUAUUGUCUCCUGUGCUAGAAGCUUUGCAGAAAACCUGGAAAUUUUGGCCAGAAAUGGUGAGAAGAAAAAGCAUGAAGAAGCCGCGAAGUGUGGGGGAGAAAAAGGUGGAAGCGAAGAAACAGCUCCCGGAGCAAACUGUACAAAACCUCGCCAAGAGUGUCGGGAGGCAGGACCGUUAUUCCUGCGGAGCAGGAGAGAGAGGAGAGACCCUGAAACACGCGCCACCUAUCUUUGUGGGGAGGGAUAAUUGAAGCGCCCUGAGCGUGAGCAUCAUGUGAAAACGUGAUCGCCAAGUUUCUCUCUGGGAAAGGAUCUGGGAUAGAUUAUACCUUGAAGUCUCCGCAAACGCUUUAGUGGAAGAAAUGAAAUUCCACCUCCCUCCCUUCCUCUCUCCCUCCCUCUCGCCUCCCUCCCUCCCUCCCUCCCUCUCUUCUCCACGCCCCCCCCCCCCCCCCCCCCCCGUCAAGCCUUUGGCAUCAUUAUCCUCAUCACUAAAUCCUACAGAGUACAGGGCGGAAAACGGUGCACACCAUUCACAGAACUGGAGAACUCUAAGGGGCGAAAGUUAAAGGGAAAGAUCCCGGGUCCUUAAUCCAGAUAGCCUCUUCUUAUACAGAUAUUUCUAAUGGCCAGACUUGAGAUGCACAUUAAGUUGUGUGGAUUUCUCAGCACGUCUUCUGGAACUAAAUUCUUUGCCCUUUUUCUUCUUUUAUUUUAUUUUAUUUUUUUCUUUUUGGAUGGCAGAGCCAGAAAAAAAAAAUGCUGCAUGUGAACUACAUCUUAGGGUGUGUGUGCUGGGGUGUGUGUAUGAUGAAUUUCUGGAUUGGAUCUCAAUGGUAAAAAGUAGUUUGGUAUUUUUAAAAAGGGUCUCUAAGUAAAUUAACAUAGAGUGCUGGGUUGACUGAUCUCUGAAUCUCUCUACAUCUCACGGAGACCUCACUACAAAGUGAGGGAGUGUGUGUAGGAGGAAAAGGAGAAAGGCCAUAGAGGGACUUAGCAGGGAAGGAAGAGUAUGAUAUUAAACGGCAUGGGGUCUAAGUUUUGGAGUAUAUAUUUUUCUGAUAUUGCAAUUAAAGUAAAAUUAAAAAGAAAAGACUCCACCUUUGCUCUGAAGGGAUUGGUUAUGUAAAUAUGGAAGGGAUUUCCUGGAGAAUACAGCUUUCUACUGUAUGGUUAAUUAAAUAAUCACUCAAAAGCUUCCAACGUGACGCUUCUGUCGUAAUCCAAUCAGGUUACAUAGGUCCUAAACAAGAAAGAUAUUUUCCACAUCUGGAAGUCAGCAAUUUAGCAAGUACUGCACAUUAUUAACCGAUUCAGAGCCCACUUCCCAGGGGAAUUUUUUUUGAAGUUUAAGUGUUCUUAACCAAUGCUCUGCUGUUUUGUUAAUCAAAAAGCUGGUUUACACUGCACGUAAUUGGAACUAAUAUAGAAGUAAAUAAAGACAGCCAAAUUUGAGGAUGCUGAGCACAGGCAUUUAUCGGAAAAGGAAGAAAUCUCUUAGCCUCCAAUGGUUCAGGCUCAAUUUCUUAAAGAACUGUGAGACUUUUUUUUUUUUUUUCUUAAGAGUGAAAGUGCUUGAGAACCUCAGAGCACAAAAUAAACUUCCAGUCCCAACAGCCUUUGGACUUCCUUGCAAAGGUAAAGGUGGAGGUGUCAGGAGGAUUAAACCACCUCACCACCAGUUUUUCUGCUUUAAUAUUGUUCAGUGUCACAGCCCUCUGUUUUCAGUCUGAUGAAAUCUGAAACAAAUAAUACCCUGAUCCAACACUAGACUUUUACUUAUAUUAAGAUAAACUGCUUUGAAUUGUGCUUUGAAUGUGUGCCUAAAGCAAGACUUUGAAUGCAGGAGUCACUUGCAAUUGCACGCAGAGGAGGGAAAAGCCACCACUUGGGUUGCCACAUCCAUAGUCCCAGAGGUGCAAGUCUUUCUAUUUUGCAUAUUUGGGGGGAGGGAAAUAACCAUCUAGCAUGAUCACAGCCACUUCUUACUUUAAGAUGAAAAAAAGUAAAAUUUCACAGUUGUUUACAGACUCAUCUCUUUCUUAACUUGAUUCUUUAUUACAAUGAGAAUAGCUACAUAAAUUAAUUUUCUCCCCCACACCAUUACAGAUAAUUUACCUACAGAAGAGGAGCAUUCAAGAUCAUCAUUCUAAAAGUUAAUUGUAAAAAAAGAAAAUUAAUGAUUUCCAAUAUGGGUUAGAAAUAUUUAAAAUUUUAGUUUUACAUUGCUUUUAAUAGUACAUAUUUAUAUUAAAUAUAUGUCUGACUUAUCAAGUUCCUCCCCUGAGAUUUAGCUGUAUUAUUAAUGUCUUUUUUUCUUCCUCUUCCCACUUCCCCCUCCUUUUUAUGAAAAAAAAAUGGAAUCCAGCUUUCUCUAGAAGUUUGCUCUUCAGCCUCUCCUCUCCCAUUCCCGUGGAAGAAGGAUCCCACUGCAAAGGAGUGAUUCCAGGCAAGACCCCACUGCUGGAGCCCAGGUCAAAAGUGGAUCAUUGAGGCAGUUGACAAAUAAUUAAGACGUACUUAAGGAGAAUCGGAAAAGACUAUCAGGAGGAAUUCAGAACAUCUUCACCUGGAUUUUCAUGGGUACUCGUCAUCUCUUUCCUGGAACACUGUGCCCACCUCCCGACUGGCUUUCCUGUUUCCAGUCUUUCCUCCCUCGUAUCUAUUCUCCAUCACCGGUAUGAGUCAUUGAUCUACAACAACAUCUAUCUGACUGUGUCACCACUGUCAGCAGUUCCCAAUGACAUGACUGUGGUAUUCCUCAAACUCAGCGAACCUCAAAGAUGGACCCCUGAGGAUUCAAGGAGCUAAUACUUAUUGACUGCAUACUGUUUGCCAGACUCUGACUCCAUGCUUUACCUAUCUUGUUUCAUUAAACCCUGAAAGCAUCUUGUGAGAAGAAGAAACAGACCAGAGACAAUCUCUUGUCACCCACCUGAGCAGAGCUUGACUUCAGACCCAACCCUCUCUGAAUCCAGGACCUGUGUUAAUUUCAUGACAAUGUGCCACAAGAGAAAAAAAAAGACAUGAGAAGGACCAUUACUACUCUUUUUCUUGUUACUGGGACUACCUCCACGUAUUGGAUGCCUCCUGGUGCCAUACACCAUGACAGCUAAAUUUUGGAUACCAUCAAAUCUAAUCACUUUAAGAAUCUAGUUAUUCAGAUGUUAUUAUUAUUUCAGAGAAUGAAACAGUCACUGAGAAGUUAAGUAACUGCCCAAGAACAAACAGCAAGUAAACCAUGAGCUCAACACUGGGUUGGCUUCAUUGCAAAGUGUGGGUGCUUCUGUCAAUGUAGGAAAACGCAUUUAAGAUCUGGAAGUUUCACCUGGAAACCUGAGAGUUGUGAGAUAAGUCAGGAAAUCAGGCAACCAGACUGCUCAAUAAUUUUUCCAGAUAAUUUUUCCAAGUACUUUUGUUUUCUUACUUGCUUCCAGUCAUGAUUUUGGUGGUGUAGAUAUUCCACUAAAUCUACGUAUUAUGAAAAAGUACUCCGUGAUCCUAAAAAAGAAUGUUCUGCUUAUUGGC